rnacentral:rRNA from 1 species
UACGAAGGGGGCUAGCGUUGCUCGGAAUCAUUGGGCGUAAAGGGUGCGUAGGCGGCGCGGUAAGUCGGGUGUGAAAUCUCGGAGCUUAACUCCGAAACUGCAUUCGAUACUGCCGUGCUUGAGGACUGGAGAGGAGACUGGAAUUUACGGUGUAGCGGUGAAAUGCGCAGAUAUCAGGAAGAACACCUAUGGCGAAGGCAGCUCUCUGGGACGGUACUGACGCUGAGACGCGAAAAGCGUGGGGAGCGAACAGG